rnacentral:rRNA from 1 species
GACGAACGCUGGCGGCGUGCUUAACACAUGCAAGUCGAACGGAAAGGCCCUGCUUUUGUGGGGUGCUCGAGUGGCGAACGGGUGAGUAACACGUGAGUAACCUGCCCUUGACUUUGGGAUAACUUCAGGAAACUGGGGCUAAUACCGGAUAGGAGCUCCUGCUGCAUGGUGGGGGUUGGAAAGUUUCGGCGGUUGGGGAUGGACUCGCGGCUUAUCAGCUUGUUGGUGGGGUAGUGGCUUACCAAGGCUUUGACGGGUAGCCGGCCUGAGAGGGUGACCGGGGACAGUGGGGCUGAGAUACGGCCCAGACUCCUACGGGAGGCAGCAGUGGGGAAUAUUGCACAAUGGGCGGAAGCCUGAUGCAGCAACGCCGCGUGCGGGAUGACGGCCUUCGGGGUGUAAACCGCUUUCGCCUGUGACGAAGCGGGAGUGACGGUAAUGGGUAAAGAAGCACCGGCUAACUACGUG